GGUAGGAUGGCUGAAUUUUAAGCGGUGGGUUGUAGCCCCAUAGACAGGGGUUAAAGCCCUCUUCUUAUCA
rnacentral:tRNA from 1 species